rnacentral:lncRNA from 1 species
GGAGCCCGGAUGCGCGCUGGGACUCGGUGCAGUCCAGCUCCACGGUCGCGCGUCCCACAGCUCCCUUCACGUCCGUUCCUCCGUUUCCCCACCUUGGGAGGGCCAGGACUUCCGAGGCUUUAGGGGGCAGGAAGCUGCGAGAAGGUGGCGCUUGCUUAGGUGAGGCGCGGAGGAUGGUAUUAGAGAGAGGAACGUGACUGGAAGCUCCCUGGCCAUGGACGAUCGCUGGGUUCUAGGCGCCUGCUCGCCCCAGCGGUUGACGGUCACGUGAUACCCCCCAGUGUACCUUUCCUGCAGCGUGUUACGUGGCGCACAGAGAACGUCGCUUCCAGAGGACCGUUUUUUCGUAACUGGCAGUAGUAAUCUGGCGGUUGACACUCUCGUUGCCUGUAUAGGCUGAUGGCCCACUCACCUUUUUAGCUGGGCUCCUGACCUGUCCGGCCAGAAAGUUGCCACUGGGAAACCUGGACCCCUACUGAAUGGAUCUGCUGGCACCUAGACCUCAGAGAAGGGGGAACUGAAGACUGAAGUCUGACCACUGUUCUUUGUUGAAAAUUUCUUUCUCAGGGGCUUGGAGGGAUCACAUCUACAAUCCUGAGCUAAUAUUCUCUUCUGCUGUCCCCAAAAUUUAAACGAAGCUUCUCUUAACCCAUUGCAAAUGAGAAAAAUCUUUGAAUCUACCUAUGACUAUAAGCCCUUAUUUCAAGAUAUCCUGCCUUUUUAGGCCAGAACCAAAGUGUAACCUCCAUCUAUUGAUUUACAAUUUUGCCUGUAACUUUGGCUUUCCUGAAAUUUACCCCAGCCUUAAAAAAAAAAAAGAACAGAAAAAGAAAACUGCAAGGCAUCAGGGAGGUCAGAAUUUGGGCAUGAGCUGCCUGAUCCUCCUUGCUUUGCAUCUUUGCAAAUAGAUGCCUUCAGCUGUGCAUGAUGGCUCACACCUCUCAUCCCAGCACUUUGGGAGGGCAAGGCGGGAGGAUUGCUCCAUCCCAGGAGUUCGAGAUCAGGGGCAAAAUGCCGAAACCCUGUCUCUACAAAAAAUUAAAAAAUUAGCUGGGCAUGAUGGUGCACUUCUGUAGUCCCAGCUACUUGGGAGGCUGAGGCAGGGGGAUUGCUUGAGCCCAAGAGGUUGAGGCUACAUGAGCCAUCAUCGUGCCACUGCACUCCAGCCUGGGAAACAGAAUGAGACCCUGUCUCAAAACAAAACAUUUGAAAAA